rnacentral:rRNA from 1 species
AAUGAACGUUGGCGGCGUGGAUUAGGCAUGCAAGUCGUACGAGAAUCGUAGCAAUACGAGGAAAGUGGCUGAAGGGAGAGGAUUACGUGGGGAUCUACCCUCAGAACUGGGAUAGCGGCGGGAAACUGCCGGUAAUACCAGAUAAUGUCUGUGGACCAAAGGUGUGAUUCCGUCUGGGGAUGAGCCCACGUCCUAUUAGCUAGUUGGCAGGGUAAUGGCCUACCAAGGCAAUGAUGGGUAGCGGGUGUGAGAGCAUGACCCGCCUCACUGGGACUGAGAACUGCCCAGACACCUACGGGUGGCUGCAGUCGAGAAUCUUCGGCAAUGAGCGCAAGCUUGACCGAGCGACGCCGCGUGCGGGAUGAAGGCCUUCGGGUUGUAAACCGCUGUCGUAGGGGAGCAAGAGAUGAGGGUACUCCCUCUGAUUUGAGCGAUCCUAGGAGGAAGGACGGGCUAAGUUCGUGCCAGCCGCCGCCGUAAUAC